GGGGGCGCCGUCCGUUCAGGUGCUGCUGGUGCUGGGGCCGCCGCGUAUCCCGGACCCGGCCGGGUCUGCGCUUCCGAGUCGCCGCCGCCGGACCCCGGGGUGGGGUGGGGAGGAAGCCGGAGACGCCGCGCGCCACACGCGAAAGAAAAGCACCAGAAGUAAAGAAACUUUUACAGCUUUUGUUGAUUUGGCUGUUAACGCUGAUCCCCCGAAUCAAAAAAAGGUAAUCAAACUUGAAAGUUUGCAUUUUAAUUUGUAGCUUCAUUUUAAAUGAUGAGAGGAGAAAAUUGUGCAGUGUUUACCCUCCACUUGGUUGAAAAACAAAGGUUCUAAAAAGGCUAUAUUUAUAUAAUGAGUGGGUUUCUCUGUUUAAAAUCUUGUUGAGGGGGAAAAACUAACUCAGGUGUUAAGUAGUAAACUGAUGAGAACGUCAUUAAAGGUUAGCCUAAGGAAGAUAGAAGGAAAGUUGUGGGACAACUGGUCAUAGUCAGCUAUGAAAGAAAACAAUGAGGAAGGGUUCUGUGUACUGACCUGGGAAGAGCUCCAAAAUAUGUUAUGAAGUGAAAAAAAGAUGUAGGGCUGUGUGAAUAAUGUGCUGCUUUGUGUGUUAAGGGGACAGGCGAGGAAUAAGAAUACAAGCUUGCGUUUGCUUUUCUAAGUAUAAAGCGACUCUGGAAAGGGAGAAACUGCAGAACUGGUAAUGGUGGGCGAGAGGGGGAAGGAGCCUGAUGAGGGGAUGGUGGGAAAUGACGUUGUGUAUGUCUUAUUUUUAAAGUAUUUGGACUGUAUUAUGGAUUCAUAAACUAAACAGAAGUCCUUCUUUCCAAAAUAACUUGUUAUGUGUUUUUGUUUGUUGCUUAUUUCUCUUUCCUAAUUUAUGGUGAUUUUGGACAUUUUCAACAUGAUUUCUCUUAAUAUUUUUAAGGAAAAUGAGCUGUAAAAUUCAAAGAAAGCUUAGGGUAAGUUUGGCUGUCUAUGCCUCGAUUUUUAAGGUGCUGGUGUCACAUUUAAUUUUUAAAGCUGUUUAGUCACAUUUUACUUUGCCGAAAUAUGACAUCAUUUACAUUUGGCAUUAUGGCUGGAUUAUAAAGAUUUCAGAGCAUGGUUUGCCUCCUUUUUUUUUUUUUUUUUUUUCAGGAAUCAUACUUGCAUAAAAUUUGACUUUUAGUUUUUUUAACCCCAAAGUUGUCAUGACAAAUAGUUGGAGAGUAUGAGCACUCCAUUAAAAUGGUAAUAGAAUCGUUUGUCCAGGUAGUUUGCUUUGCAGAUUUGGGAAAUGCUUUUCUCAAGACAAUCAGAUAUGAACCUCAGUGACAUGUAACUUUAUAUGUAUAUUUAUUUUUAUAGUACUUUCGGGGAAUUAAAACUAGCAGUCAGUGCAGAACAUCAAAAUUUUUUUAUGGCUUAUUGAUUGCUCCACACAGUACAUGAUUUGGGGAAGGGUACUCAGAACCUCUUGGAUGCUAAUAUAAUGAAAGUAGUGAAUGUUGAGUAGUGGUUGACAGUUACUGUGGGCAUUUUCGUUAUGUUUCCAGUAUUCCUUUUUAUUUUGUACGAUAGGAUAAUUAUUUUUGUUUGACUUAGAGGUCUCUAGUCAAACUUAUGCAUAUUUUUUCAUUUGAAUUCCAUGUGGGUCUAUUCAGUCUUUUUGAAAAAAUAGAAUUGCAUUUCAAAAUUUUACUUAAAAUUUUGUUAUUGUUUUUCAAAUUAUAGAAGUAGAGUGGUGUUCAUGAGAAAUUAAAACAAUGCAGUGUAUAUGUACGUGAAGCAGCCUUUGCACGUGUCCACCUCUUCUCACAUCUCUGCAGAAAUGACUGCUGUUAACAGUGUUGUAUAACCUUCGAGUUCUUUUUCUGUGCAUUUACAAACAUGAAUUUUCAGUCUUGAGAACUGAAUUGUCUUGUUUUGUCCGCUUGUUUGCCUUCAAUGUGAGCUCUGUUAGUGUCACAGGUCAGGGAAAUGACCUGGAGUGUGUCAGAAAGUUUAACAUAUAGUAUGCGCCUUAGGACAGUCUCAUCUUUUCACUGGUGAGGGGCUGGUUAGUUUGGGGCACAGUUACGGUUUGUAGUGAGCUCUCACUGUUGUGAGCUUUAAUCUGAUGUGGAUUGAAUUUACCUUUAGACUUAGAGUCCGUGGCUUUUAUAGGACUCUUUAGGGUCCACAUUUCUAGGGUUUUGACCUGGUCAGUAGCUCACAGGUUAAACUGCUUUUGUUCUCCUGCAUGUGCGGGCCAAUAGAAAACUACUUAGGUUCCACCAGCCUGUCCUGGUCUCUGGAGUGAAACUACACAGGUCUGUCCUUAACUAGGAGACAUUGACUUGGAAUGCAGCCUUGGAAGGGGAGAGGGAGCAGAGGCAGUCAGGUCUGGUUUGUCCUAUAAUGACAGCAGACAAGUCGUAUGUACACCCCACCCACCCCUGGCCCCCUGCACAGAGAAGACUGCCUUUCUAACCAAGCUGCAAAUAAUUGCCAAGACUUAAUUCCUUUUAGGUGAUAGAAAGUUGAGUAUUAGUCAAGACUACUAAACUAGGUGAGCUAUAUAGAAAGAUGCAGUACAGUUGACCCUGCCCUGAGCAUAUUUGAAGUCUAGUGUCUUUAACAUUGUGGUUGCCAAAGGGGAGGGAGUGGGACAGAUGGGAGUCUGGGGUUAGUAGAUGCAAACUAUUGCAUUUGGAGUGAAUAAGUGACAAGAUUCUGCUGUAUAGCACAGGGAACUAUAUCUAGUCACUUGUGAUGGAACAUGAUGGAGGAUAAUGUGAGAAAAAGAAUGUAUAUAUCUAUAGUAUAACUGAGUUACUUUGUUGUUCAGCAGAAAUUGAC
rnacentral:lncRNA from 1 species